CCUACGGGAGGCAGCAGUGAGGAAUAUUGGUCAAUGGGCGAGAGCCUGAACCAGCCAAGUCGCGUGAAGGAUGACGGCCCUACGGGUUGUAAACUUCUUUUGUCAGGGAGCAAUUUGGUCCACGCGUGCCCCUAGCGAGAGUACCUGAAAAAAAAGCUCCGGCUAACUCCGUACCACCAGCCUCGGUAAUACGGAGGUUGCGAGCGUGAUCCGGAUUUAUUGGGGUAAAUGGGUGCGUAGGCGGAAUAUCAAGUCAGCGGUAAAAAUGCGGGGCCCAACCCCGGCGGGCCGUUGAAACUGAGGGUCUUGAGUGGGAGAGAAGUAUGCGGAAUGCGCGGUGUAGCGGUGAAAUGCAUAGAUAUCGCGCAGAACUCCGAUUGCGAAGGCAGCAUACCGGCGCCCAACUGACGCUGAGGCACGAAAGCGUGGGUAUCGAACAGGAUUAGAUACCCGAGUAGUC
rnacentral:rRNA from 1 species